UUUCCGUAGGUGAACCUGCGGAAGGAUCAUUAACGAGUAAGGGUCCUCCUGGCACCACCUCCAACCCUCUUUUAAAUUAAUAAGUUGCUAUGGCGGGCCCGUUUCACGAACCCCGGAAUUCCUAGGACUUCUCGCCCGUGCCCGCCAAUAGCCUUCUACAAACUCUUGAUCAAUUGUGAUGUCUGAGUAAUAAAUUUAAUAGUUAAAACUUUCAACAACGGAUCUCUUGGUUCUG
rnacentral:misc_RNA from 1 species